UCCCUGUGGUGAUAUUAUUAUCUUUAUGCAGAGUAAUAUCCAGGAAGCGUUCGUAGUUGCCCAAGUCGAGAUCUACCUCACCACCAUCAUCGAGAGUUCUCAGUAACACAAGAGUAUGUUAUCUUCAAGGAAUGCUUACUUCGUUGAACAAUGGCGAUAAGCGUCAUGUUUCCUUAACAGACGUCAUUUCUAACGAUUGACGAGUGUAAUUAUGCAAGUUAUAUAAUUCAAGACAUUA